rnacentral:misc_RNA from 1 species
UAUUUCGGAGAAGAAAUGGUACCCAAUCUAGUUUAUUUCGUUUUGUAAUCCUUAUAGUUGACAAUCUCUUGAAUGUGAUCAUUUCGAUUCCUGCCUUGCAAUUGCUUGACGCUGAAAUGAUUGAGCAUGCACAUUUUUUGAAGAUCUUAGGUUUCUGGUUUUAUUCUUUUGAUGGGACCAUCGUCGUUAUGAUUAGAAUUUGGAUUUAUUUGGUUCUUGGGGUAGAUUUUACUUUUUAUUAUGUGAAGUUGUUAUUGAGUGCCUCCUAUGAAACUUGAAAAAUGAUUGUUUUGGCAG